rnacentral:rRNA from 1 species
UACGUAGGGUGCAGGCGUUAAUCGGAAUUACUGGGCGUAAAGCGUGCGCAGGCGGUUUGCUAAGACAGGUGUGAAAUCCCCGGGCUUAACCUGGGAACUGCGCUUGUAACUGGCAAGCUAGAGUGUGGCAGAGGGGGGUGGAAUUCCACGUGUAGCAGUGGAAUGCGUAGAGAUGUGGAGGAACACCGAUGGCGAAGGCAGCCCCCUGGGCUAACACUGACGCUCAUGCACGAAAGCGUGGGGAGCAAACAGG